ensembl:lincRNA Gm29187 predicted gene 29187
AAAUGGAUCGUCCUGCUGGCUCCAUGCUCUUCUAAUUACACCUUUGUACGUCAGAGCCACACAGGGCUCCUGCAGAGGAAGAGAUUGCUUUCAGCAACGGAAUCAUGGGAUCCGAAUUACCGGGAAGGGCUGAAGUUGAGCCAAGGGUUGAGUGCUUUUGGCUUGAGAUCCUGGUUGGAAAAUGGACCCCAGAAUGCAUUUGGAGCUACGACUGGAGGGUUUGUGGAAGGAACAGUUUGGGAUGUGCACCGUUACCAUGGAAACCAGCAGCCAAGGUCACUCUAGCUGCUUUUUGAAGUUGAGACUUGGCCUUUGCCUCCACAGAUGAACUUGAAUCCGCCCAUUGCAGGUCAUAGUGAGAGAAGGGGGGCAGGGGCUGUGUUCCCCUGUUUUCCUCCACUCUCUGGGCCUUUCUUCUUACAGUAUCCGUGACUCCUUGCAGUUUGGGGCUGAGAUUUUAUUCUCUCAUCCUAAGUAUUUAUUAUUUUGCUGAGAAACACAACCAAAUGAUUCUUCACACUAAUAACCACGCCUCUAUUCCUCUCUUGGAUUUUCAGCUACUGUUCAAUCUUUACUAGUCCUGUUUCUCUCCCUUCCCGUCCUCCUCCCUCUUCUCUUUCCUUUCUCUGUCCCUCCUCCUCUCUUCCUUCUUGUCAUCACCCACAAGAAACAAAAGCUAAGCACACUGC